rnacentral:rRNA from 1 species
GGCGGACGGGUGAGUAACACGUGGAUAACCUACCUAUAAGACUGGGAUAACUUCGGGAAACCGGAGCUAAUACCGGAUAACAUAUUGAACCGCAUGGUUCAAUAGUGAAAGGCGGCUUUGCUGUCACUUAUAGAUGGAUCCGCGCCGUAUUAGCUAGUUGGUAAGGUAACGGCUUACCAAGGCAACGAUACGUAGCCGACCUGAGAGGGUGAUCGGCCACACUGGAACUGAGACACGGUCCAGACUCCUACGGGAGGCAGCAGUAGGGAAUCUUCCGCAAUGGGCGAAAGCCUGACGGAGCAACGCCGCGUGAGUGAUGAAGGUCUUCGGAUCGUAAAACUCUGUUAUCAGGGAAGAACAAAUGUGUAAGUAACUGUGCACAUCUUGACGGUACCUGAUCAGAAAGCCACGGCUAACUACGUGCCAGCAGCCGCGGUAAUACGUAGGUGGCAAGCGUUAUCCGGAAUUAUUGGGCGUAAAGCGCGCGUAGGCGGUUUUUUAAGUCUGAUGUGAAAGCCCACGGCUCAACCGUGGAGGGUCAUUGGAAACUGGAAAACUUGAGUGCAGAAGAGGAAAGUGGAAUUCCAUGUGUAGCGGUGAAAUGCGCAGAGAUAUGGAGGAACACCAGUGGCGAAGGCGACUUUCUGGUCUGUAACUGACGCUGAUGUGCGAAAGCGUGGGGAUCAAACAGGAUUAGAUACCCUGGUAGUCCACGCCGUAAACGAUGAGUGCUAAGUGUUAGGGGGUUUCCGCCCCUUAGUGCUGCAGCUAACGCAUUAAGCACUCCGCCUGGGGAGUACGACCGCAAGGUUGAAACUCAAAGGAAUUGACGGGGGACCCGCACAAGCGGUGGAGCAUGUGGUUUAAUUCGAAGCAACGCGAAGAACCUUACCAAAUCUUGACAUCCUUUGACCGCUCUAGAGAUAGAGUGUUCCCCUUCGGGGGACAAAAAGACAGGUGGUGCAUGGUGGUGGUCAGCUCGUGUCUUGAGAUGUUGGGUUAAGUCCCGCAACGAGCGCAACCCCUAAGAUUAGUUGCCAUCAUUAAGUUGGGCACUCUAAGUUGACUGCCGGGGACAAACCGGAGGAAGGGG